rnacentral:rRNA from 1 species
CCUACGGGUGGCUGCAGUGGGGAAUAUUGGGCAAUGGGCGCAAGCCUGACCCAGCAACGCCGCGUGAAGGAAGAAGGCUUUCGGGUUGUAAACUUCUUUUCUCAGGGACGAAGCAAGUGACGGUACCUGAGGAAUAAGCCACGGCUAACUACGUGCCAGCAGCCGCGGUAAUACGUAGGUGGCAAGCGUUAUCCGGAUUUAUUGGGUGUAAAGGGUGCGUAGACGGAGAAGCAAGUUAGUUGUGAAAUCCCUCGGCUUAACUGAGGAACUGCAACUAAAACUACUUCCCUUGAGUACUGGAGAGGAAAGUGGAAUUCCUAGUGUAGCGGUGAAAUGCGUAGAUAUUAGGAGGAACACCAGUGGCGAAGGCGACUUUCUGGACAGUAACUGACGUUGAGGCACGAAAGUGUGGGGAGCAAACAGGAUUAGAUACCCUUGUAGUC